UACGUAGGGUGCAAGCGUUAAUCGGAAUUACUGGGCGUAAAGCGUGCGCAGGCGGUUUUGUAAGUCUGUCGUGAAAUCCCCGGGCUCAACCUGGGAAUUGCGAUGGAGACUGCAAGGCUAGAAUCUGGCAGAGGGGGGGUAGAAUUCCACGUGUAGCAGUGAAAUGCGUAGAGAUGUGGAGGAACACCGAUGGCGAAGGCAGCCCCCUGGGUCAAGAUUGACGCUCAUGCACGAAAGCGUGGGGAGCAAACAGGAUUACGAA
rnacentral:rRNA from 1 species